rnacentral:misc_RNA from 1 species
GAAAUGCGAUACGUAAUGUGAAUUGCAGAAUUCAGUGAAUCAUCGAGUCUUUGAACGCACAUUGCGCCCCCUGGUAUUCCGGGGGGCAUGCCUGUCCGAGCGUCAUUGCUGCCCUCAAGCACGGCUUGUGUGUUGGGCCCCCGUCCCCCCCCAAGGUGACGGGCCCGAAAGGCAGCGGCGGCACCGUGUCCGGUCCUCGAGCGUAUGGGAAGCAACUUUUUGUCACCCGCUCCUGUAGGUCCGGCCGGCGGCCUGCCCAACCCCAACCUUUUUUUCAACCAGGUUGACCUCGGAUCAGGUAGGGAUACCCGCUGAACUUAAGC